rnacentral:rRNA from 1 species
CCCUUAGAUGUUCUGGGCUGCACGCGCGCUACACUGAAGCGUUCAACGAGUAUUCACCUUGCCCGGGAGGGUUGGGUAAUCUUUUGAAAACGCUUCGUGAUGGGGAUAGAUUACUGCAAUUAUUAAUCUUCAACGAGGAAUUCCUAGUAAGCGCGAGUCAUCAGCUCGUGCUGAUUACGUCCCUGCCCUUUGUACACACCGCCCGUCGCUCCUACCGAUUGAGUGAUCUGGUGAAUAAUUCGGACUGCAGCACUGCUUGGUCUCCAGGCUUUGCAGCGGAAAGUUUAGUGAACCUUAUCACUUAGAGGAAGGAGAAGUCGUAACA